rnacentral:snRNA from 1 species
UAAGUUACCCAGCAGGGCCAUGCCAUGAUCAGGAGGGUGGUUUUCCCAGGGCGAGGCUUAUCCAUUGCACUCUGGAUGUGCCGCACCCUGCGAUUUCCCCAGGUGUGGGACACUGGACUGCAUGAUUUGUGGUAGUAGGGGACUGCAUUCAUUAA